rnacentral:rRNA from 1 species
AUUGAACGCUGGCGGCAGGCCUAACACAUGCAAGUCGAGCGGAUGACGAGAGCUUGCUCUCUGAUUCAGCGGCGGACGGGUGAGUAAUGCCUAGGAAUCUGCCUGGUAGUGGGGGACAACGUUUCGAAAGGAACGCUAAUACCGCAUACGUCCUACGGGAGAAAGCAGGGGACCUUCGGGCCUUGCGCUAUCAGAUGAGC